GGUUCCAUAGUGUAGUGGUUAUCACAUCUGCUUUACAUGCCGAACGUCCUGGGUUCGAUCCGCAGUGGAAUCA